rnacentral:rRNA from 1 species
AGCUCCAAUAGCGUAUGUUAAAGUUGUUGCAGUUAAAAAGCUCGUAGUUGGACUUGUGCGUACCGGAUGCGGCGGUCUGCGGCCAAAAGGUCGUUGCGAUCAGCCCGUCCUGGUGCCGUAAAAUUUGCAACUGGGUCGUCGCUGGCCUUAAUUGGUCGGCGGCGCCUGCUCGGUUGCUCGUUUACUGUGAGAAAAUUGGAGUGUUCAAGGCAGGCAUGAUUGCAACUGAACAUGUUAGCAUGGAAUAAUAAGAUAGGGCUCCGGCUCCAUUUUGUUGGUUUCUAGAGCGUGGGAGUAAUGAUUGAUAGGGACAGUUGGGGGUGCUAGUAUUCAGCGGCCAGAGGUGAAAUUCAUGGAUUCGCUGAAGACUGACUUAUGCGAAAGCAUUCACCAAGGAUGUCCUCU